UACGAAGGGGGCUAGCGUUGCUCGGAAUCACUGGGCGUAAAGGGUGCGUAGGCGGGUCUUUAAGUCAGGGGUGAAAUCCUGGAGCUCAACUCCAGAACUGCCUUUGAUACUGAGGAUCUUGAGUACGGGAGAGGUGAGUGGAACUGCGAGUGUAGAGGUGAAAUUCGUAGAUAUUCGCAAGAACACCAGUGGCGAAGGCGGCUCACUGGCCCGUUACUGACGCUCAGGCACGAAAGCGUGGGGAGCAAACAGG
rnacentral:rRNA from 1 species